rnacentral:rRNA from 1 species
AGCAGCCGCGGUAAUUCCAGCUCCAAUAGCGUAUAUUAAAGUUGUUGCAGUUAAAAAGCUCGUAGUUGAAUUUCGGGAUUAGUGCGCCGGUCGUGCCUUCGGUAUGUACUGGUGUUACUGGUUCCUACCUUCUGACGAACCGUCAUGUCAUUAAUUUGGUGUGGCGGGAAAUCAGGACUGUUACUUUGAAAAAAUUAGAGUGUUUAAAGCAGGCUCGCGCUUGAAUACAUUAGCAUGGAAUAAUGAAAUAGGACGUUCGAUCCUAUUUUGUUGGUUUCUAGGAUUGACGUAAUGAUUAAUAGGGAUAGUUGGGGGCAUUAGUAUUCAAUUGUCAGAGGUGAAAUUCUUGGAUUUAUUGAAGACUAACUACUGCGAAAGCAUUUGCCAAGGAUGUUUUCAUUAAUCAAGAACGAAAGUUAGGGGAUCGAAGACGAUCAGAUACCGUCGUAGUCUUAACCAUAAACUAUGCCGACUAGGGAUCGGAUGAUGUUAAUUUUUUAAUUGAC